AGAGAGAACAGAGGAAAGCAACAGCUGGCUGGGGAAGCUCUCCUGGGUGGCUCUUGGCUGAGAGGGAGCUGGGGAAGGAGAUUGGGAAAUUGGCUGAAAUUGUCUGAGAUGGGCGAGGAGGAUACCUGAGGAAGAGCAAUAGCAAGGGCUCUAGAAUAAGACCAGUGGUGAUCCCCACGCAGAGGGAAGCUGGGAGUGAAGAGGCUGUGAGAAGGCUUAAAAUGAAGUGGCCUUGGGAAUCAUGACACAAGGCAGUUUGGGGUUUAGGGCAGACAGCUGUUCCAUAGUACAGGGUUCCAAGGCUGGAGCCUGCAGCAGUGGGAGGUCCUGGGCUUCCCUCUGGUACCACCAUAGAUAGUGGUAAAACACUGCAAUUGAGAGAAAGGUCUCUGAGAGGUGCAGUGGCUUAGAAGUGCAAGGAUUGCUUGAUCUCUGAUAUAAGGAGAGAGGAGGAGCCCCCUUCAGCCACAGGGGAAGGAUGUAAUGGUUGCCAGAGACUAGGCAAGGGACUUUUUUGGAGGAAGGUGGGAGACUUUGGAUUUGACUAAAUUGCCCUACUAGCCCUGGGUAGACAGUAGUCCUUUGGAAAACUGAGGCAUGAUCGCACACCUGCCUUCAGAGAGGCAUUCAGUAGUCUGGGCUUAAGAUACCUAAAAGAUAGACUGAAGCUUCGGCAUGAUGACCAUGGUUGACAUCUCCACUCCUUAGGCACAAUGGAGUUGUCCACCACAAGGACAGCUGGAGUGCUGGAGACAGAGGUGUUUAAGGGUCUUCUCUGACAUUGGUCACUGGAUGGAUGCUUUACCACUUUGUGCAAACCCACUGUCAGGGCUGUAUCAUGUACCAGGUACAUCACCUUUGAAAGAGUGGAACACUAGCUCUUAAAAGAAGAUGACCAUGUUUGGCUGCAGAAAUUUUGGGAAGAUAUGGUAACAUUUUGGAAGCUGCAGCAUUAUCCUUCCUCUCCUUUCAGCUUCCUGUUCCAUCUGCUGGAGGACAAUAUCUUCUAGGAAUAACUGGAAGUGCACAAGAUACCAGCAAAACUGCAGCAGUUUCACUGAAAGUAUCAAGGCCAGUUCUAGCAGCAGCAACAAAACCAAUAUGCUGUCUGGACAAUGUCGUUCUUUUCUUUUCAUGCCAGAGCGAGCUGUCUGAAGGAGCUCCAUCUGUUCCCCCUACGCUAGAUCCUGCAACGUGCUGAGCACUCAUGCCUCAAUGAAGAAAAGCACUUAAAUACAUGCUUCUGUUUAAGCACAUGCAUAGUCCUACUGAUAUCAGGUGAGCCCUCUCUGAGCCCAAGUCUGGGAGCUGCUGCAUGUCCUCAACUCCCACUGAACACAAUGUGCUUAAAGAUCAGUGUGAUUUAAUUGGAGUCAGGCACCUAAAUACCUUGUUGAGAAUUGAGUUGCAGGGCCUUGUAGAGAGUAUUCAGAACCCUGAAGGACUGGGCUAUUCCAGUGGAAGACAAUUUCAUGAGAGAGAAUGAUAGCCGUUCUAAUCAGCUGCUUCUAGCUUUAGGAAAAAAAAUAGCUUAUUUCUCAGACUUGGCCAUUUCUCAGCUUUGUUUUGCCUAGCAUUGUUAGUCCUGCUGUUGUGCUUGUUAUAGACAGAAGGGCCUUGCUUAGUGCAGUCAGCAUUGAGAUCCUUCCUUUUUUUUUUUAAAGAUUAAUUUGGAAGACUUCCCUGAUUAUACAUCUGUCACUGUAAUUUACACCUCUGAGGAUAAAGCUGAUUAAGGAAUCAGUGAGUGAUUAAUAUUAUUCAUGGAAGGCAGGGCUUUAAAGGGGGGUAUGUUAACCAAGGCCUGUGACUUAGGCAAGGUUUACUUUAAUUAUUCAGCUGGGUCCUGGCAAAUCUCAUCUGAAGCUGCAUAAACUGGUUCAAUAAAUACAAAGUCACCUGUCCUGUUGAUCAAAACUCAACCCAAAUCAUUAUCAUCCUUUUUUUUAAGCUGAAGUAAAGAAUUCUACUUUGCUUCACCCAUUCUUCAGAACUCCCUCAAAUGAUCCCUCCCUUUGCUGAACAAAUGAAAGUCCAGAUGCCAGCUGAUCCCUGCAUUGUAGAAAUCCUGCAUUACAUGGUGCUUCCUUCAGGUGUGCAAUGCAAUUUGGAGCCCCUCAGACUAGAAGCAGCACCCCAGGAGAGUAGAGUGGGUGGAGGGAUAAAAGGAGAGAAUUGGGUCAGAGUAGAUCAAGGGAAGGGUUAAAGUACAGGUUAGAAGGGAAGUAAGCCAAAGGACUGAGCUGACAGAAAGGGAAGGAACAGGCUGUUGUUUAGAUCAUGGCAGUGCCCAAAAUGAGCUAGGUGGUUUACAAAGGGGAAGAGACUAUCCUUGCCCUAGAGAGCAUAGAGUCUCAAAGUAUAUACAGUUUUUAUCUCUUGGUGAAGGGGGUCAUGCACCAUACAAGGUGGGACUGGAUGGGUCAACAGUCUGACCUGGAGAGAAAACCUUAUAGGCAUAUGAAAGGAAGAUGAGUGGUGGAAAUAGGAAUGGGCCUAAGGAAUAACAAUUGGGUUUAGUUCAGACACCAGCUGCUUUUCUCAGGCCACUAAAACAAAUGACAAUAGAUGGCCUCAUCUAACCUUUGCAGCAAUGAUAGGUGUUUGUUAUUGUCCUGUCUCGCAAAAGAUCUGGCUUCUAGCUGGUUAGAUAGCUAAUACAAGUGAAAAUUGUGGUUGUAUAUGUGCUACUUUUGAUCCAACUUCAACUCCUUCUAAGCUUGAAAAUGGCAUAUGUUGCUGCUUAACAUAGCGUAGAUUAGCAUAGCAAUGGAUCCCUUAAGGGAAACAGAGACCCCAAUGACUUUGUCUGGAGUAGGUAAAGCACUUGAGUUUAGGUCAGGUUUAGCUAAUGAGUGCUAGCAAAACCCAACCUCCAUUCAACCUUUUUCCUAGCGUAAACUCUUAAGCUCUAGCAAGUUAAGUUGUACCCUAGGCUCUUGUCUAAGCUAGAACAUAAAAAAGACAGGAGUCUCAGUUAAAUGGAGGUACCCUGCAUGGAUUAGUUAAGUCCAACUGAAACUCAGCCGCUUUCUCUAGUCAAGACAACGUCCAGCACAGAGUAGGAUCACUUUUUUCUUCUAGCUGCUCUUCUUUGGCUCUUUUCAUGCGUGGGUGUUUUUUUUUUUUGUUUUGUUUUUUGUUUUUUUUAAGGAAGGAGGCCAGGGUUCUUCAUUUUACAAUAUUCAUGUUGGAUGAUGAUGAGACAAUAGUUAGUAUAUCAUUUAAUUUGUAUUAUAUAUUAGCUUUGGCAGUGCAUACAUUAUAGUCAUGCUAAGAAAGUAACUUUGAUCUGACUUGUCCACACUACGGGCACAUCUGAGGUAACUUUUCAGGUAAUGAUUUGAUCCACUCUUUCUGAGGUACACAGUGAGUCAGUUCCUGGUGGAAAUCAUAUGUCUCUGCUACCUGUGUGUUCACAUAGGUUCCUUUUAUAUGCUGAUGUCCUGAUAUCAAACAGCUGUCAGCAAUACUCCCAAUAACAAUAGUUGUUGUUGGUGGCUGUUACUUUGUCCUUGGCCUGCAGCCCCUCCUCUCCACUCAUUCUCUGUUUCUUUGCCCUGUGUCUUCGUUCCAGGAUCUCAAACUAGCCAGACCCUGCACCUCAGACCAUUUCUUACUAUUUCUCCCUAUUUUGUUUGUGCUCCUGCUGUGCUGCUUGUCUAAGUGCUGUCACAGUUUCGGGGUAACAGCACCUCUUUUCCCUUGCAUGGUCAGCUCCGGGAAUCCCUCAGGCCUCCAGCCAUCACCUCUCUUUGGCUGGGGACUUGUGUCCUGUCCCUCCUGAAGAGGGGUUUUAGACUGCAGUCCCCUUGGACUUACUGAUUAUCUCCACCAGGUCAAACAAUCCCACUGAUCUUUAGCUUCUCCGGAAGGACAGUGAUGUACCAGAGACCACACAGCUGUUCCAGAGCAAAGUACAUUUUAUUCCAGGAUAAAAGCAUACGGAGAAAACAUAUAUAACAAAACCAGGAUCUAAAUACUUUACCAGUACCUCCCCUUCAAUCUCAUGGAGACAAUGCAGGUUCCAGUCUUUUCAGCAGUCUUUUCAGGUUGGGCCAAUCCUUGGACCAAAAGUCAGGUCUGUUUGCUGAAUCAGAAAGAAGUUAUUUCUUUGUCUCCUUGGCCUCUGGCAUCUGUUUGGACCAAUACAUGCAAACCAGCCUCAAGGGUGGUACUUCUCUGGAGCUGUUUAAAAUUCCAGGGACUGCAAUAAUCAACCCUCACCCCAACUGCUUUUAGUUCCUGGAGGAGCUGUGGUAACCCAUCCCCCAAAGGGGUAGAAUACAAUCCCUAGCCUACAACAAUACACAGAAGUUGUCCCCAGAGAUACUCCCCGGGGUUGCAAGUGUCACAAGUGUACUUGUCAUUUUGCACUUGAUGGCCAUCCAGAGGCUGGAGGACCUGAUCACGAGCAUGAAAACAAUUGGUCACAUGUUUUACUUGGCCCAAAGCAAAAGUAUGGGCUGUCAGUUACCACAUGGUAUCAUGGCAGUAUCUGUGGAUAUCAACAUGGUUUGGGACUUUCAGUCCCAGCACAUGUCUAGUGACAGGAUUCAACAAUGGCACUGACAGUCAUUAUACUCUGGCUGAGCACAGCAUUUACUGAUCAUUAUUCUAGUGCAGUGAGCAUGCUGAAAGUUUCUCAGUCAUAAGAAAUGGAUUCCUUUGGGUUUACCCUUCUAACUUUACUGAUGGUGCUGUGACUGGAAUAAUGAUGCAAGUCUCCUAUGUACAGCAGGCUCCACACACCAGCAUUUUGAUGCCCAUCCUCCCCUUCCCUCUGAUGACAGCAUUCACUUUCUUUUCUAUUUACCAACUAUGAGCAGCAUCUAAGUUACAACUUUUCUUUACUCAUUAGUCUACUGUGCGAACUCAGAGUCUGAUCCAGCCAAAUGCUGAGGCCAAGAAUUUUGAAUUCCUGUGCCUAAAUUCUAGGUGCCUACAUUUAUAUCAAGGGACCUAAAUAUGUAAACUGACUAUUUUCAGAGAUUCUCAGCUCCCACUUCAGGUAAGCACUUAAGCCAAUGCUUAAAUAUUGUCCUGAUUCAGGACUAUACUAGAUGGGUGCUGAGAAUCCUCAGCACCCUUCUGGAGGUGCUGAGCUCUGAACAGUAUCAGGCCCUAAUUAAGAAGCGAAUUGCAAAUAAUUUUAUGCACCUUUGAUAUUUUGGAAAUGGAUGAGACUUUCUGACUCAAAAUAUAUGUUCUGAUUUUCAGAAGUGCUGAGUAUUCUGCAACUCCCUUUGAAUUCUAUAUGAGCUGUGGGCGCGCAACACACUUGCAAAUUAGGCCAUAUUUUUCUUAUAUGAAAGGCUUGUCAAUGUCCAAAAGAUCAAAUGUGUGUAAAGUUAUUUUCACUUUGCUGCUUCAUAGCAAUAAAAGCAUGAGUCACUAUAACUUUCUGAGAAUAUUACGAUCAUCGGCACAAUAUUUCUCACACUGCAUGAUGAAUCCACAGCUGCAUGGUGUAUUAUAUGCUUCCGUUUAUUACGGGGGGAUGAUGAUGAUGAUGAUUCCUCAUCUCAAAUUUUACUGCAUUCUUUAUCAUUCACAAAUAUAACAGGUCUUCAUUCAACAGUCCAGAGCAGAAACCACAAUGUGUUAUAGAGCACUGAUGCAAACAAUGAGCCUGGAUGAUGUUGUGUCAUUGUCUUCCUUAUGUCUGAUCUAAAAUUUUUAUCUUUCUUACUUUUCAUCUUUUGUUCUAGCCUUCUCCCUUCUAUGUGAUGCUUUUACACCAGUUUCCAUAGUAACAACAUCUAUUGUAUCCAAGACUGCGUGAAAAAAAAAAUUCAUGCAGAUGUUGUCAUUGAUCCAACACCUUGCGGCAGCUCUUAUGGUGCAUUGUCCUCUUAUUUCUUGCUCUACUUUUUCCAUUUUCCCCUCAUUAAGAAUGGUUUCAGAGACUGUCCUCCUAUCUGAUGCUUUAGAUCUGAAGUGAGAAAAUAUUGGUUGGAUUUUAUUAUUAAUCUUAAUCCUUCUUCAGGUGGUUUCAGGGACAUCACCUGGCUACCAGACAGCCAACUACAGCUCUUGGUUACUUGCUUGUUAGAUACAGGUGCCCUUAAAUAAAAAUAUUAGAGGAAUCAAGAGUGAUUAGGACUGGAUGGCAUCAAUUAAAAACUGUCUCUGAAUGAGUUUGGAAAGCCUCUUGCAUUAAACCAGUUACAUACACAGAGGCUGCUAUUUUACUGCUGGCAUAAUUUGAUCAUAUCUUCCCCCGUCUCUCCCCCUCCCACAGCAAGAACUAACAAAGUUUCCAUAUUUUUGGCAAUGUUCUUUGUUCAUAACCUCUCCACUCACUCUCAUCUUUGCAGCCCGGCUUGAAGGAAAAGGGAGGGACACAGCAGAUCUGGGUUGAAAAGCUAGAACAUGGUUUACAGCUACAUAUCAUUUCAGUGGCAUGAAAAUCAGCAGCAGACUGGCAUAAUCAGCUAUUGUCUAUAAUUGUUUUGAAUUCUUUGCCAAUCAUUCCUUAUUGGGAUUGGACAUUAUUCUUUUGAUUAUAAGAACCUGACAGCCUGAUCAUAAUAAAUGUGUAACUGAA